rnacentral:lncRNA from 10 species
CCAGACAUGCACUUCUAACACCACGGAGGGCUUCUUGGCAGCCUUCCCUGCCCGCCCUCUCCACAUCGUGCCCUUCCCCUGCAGAGGGACAACUGGCUCUCCAGGCAUUUCCCUUCCGGACUUCCAGUGUGACACACACGCUCUGGCUGCUUUCCUGUCCCCAAAGACUCUUACUCCUCCAGGGCCACUGCCAGCCUAGUCACAGCCUUUGUACAAAUUAGAGAGGCCCACCUGGAUCAUGGGCAGAUGAGAACAAGGCACAGUCUGAGACUCAAAGAAGUAGCUGUGUGUUUGUGUUGGGGCUGGGGAGGGGUGUGUAGAGGAGUGUUCAGGGAAAGUUUCAAAUAGAAAGUGAUAUCUGAACUGAGUUUCCAAAGGGGAACAAAUGUUUUUCCUGUUCCAGGUGGGUUUUUUUCUUUUUCUUUUCUUUUUUUUUUUUUGAGGGAAGGAGGGAAGGAGGCAAGGCCUCUUGGGGGCUGGAACAGCAUGUGCAAAGGAGCAGAGGUGUGAAACAGCAUGCUAUCCAAUAUUGCUGGUGUGUUCUUGCAUGAGAGGCAGCAAGAGGAGGACUAAGUGAUGAGAAUGAGGUUAGACUAGGUAGGAAGGGCCAGGUGUCUGGUUUUAAGCAAGGGAAAGACACAGUGAGACUUGCAUUUGAGGAUGAUUACUUUGGAAAGAUAUUAUUUGCUUUUUACAUAUGAGCAUACUAAACCUCAGAGAGGUAUUUAUAAGUGACCUGCUUCAUGUGACACACUUAAUAGCGGAACUAGAACUUGACUCCACCUUGUGCUAAACCAGGGUCUCCUUACCUACACUUCAGGUCUGGAUGACCUCUGAGAUUUCCCUUGCAAAACUUGCCAGGCCCAUUUGACUCCUCCCAAAAGCCAAAAAAGACUUAGAUUCAGGCCGGCAGAGGCACUGCCCUUGGUCCCCUAAAAAGAUGACUUAAAACAUCUGUUUUCUCCAUUUCUUAACAGAGGAACUUUAUUCAUUCCAGGUUAGUCUUUAGAAAGCAAAACCAAAAUACUCCACUGGACAUUUACUGGCACAGAUUUCCAGAAAACAUAUAUAUACUGAAUGGGGGAAAGAGGAUGAAGAGGUCUCUUAGACCUUUGUGGGAAGAUGGCAACUAGAGUCACUUCUUAGUCACCCACUGGAAUGGUGGAUAAGUCAAAUUGUAUCCAUUGUUUUGGGUCUCUUCCUGCCACAUAACUUCAUAAUAGGUCUGCUUAUGAUAAAAAUGCAAUUAUUUCAGUAUUUCUCCUUUUUCUGCCUCUCAUACAUAGGUGAGAUUUCUCCUAGAUAGAUGGCCUCAGGGAGAAGAGAGGUGAAAAGAGCCAUUAAAAUCCAAACUCUGGUUGUCUGAGCCAUCCAAGAAACACCCACGUUAAUGGCUGUGCCUAGGAGGCGCAUAUGUUUGACUCCAGAAGCAACAAACAUUCUGGUUAGACAUGGGAUGUAUUCCCCUGUUA